UACGGGGUGAGCAAGCGUUGUUCGGAUUUACUGGGCGUAAAGGGCGCGUAGGCGGCCAGCGCAAGUCAGUUGUGAAAUCUCCGGGCUUAACUCGGAACGGUCAACUGAUACUGCGCGGCUAGAGUGCAGAAGGGGCAACUGGAAUUCUCGGUGUAGCGGUGAAAUGCGUAGAUAUCGAGAGGAACACCUGCGGCGAAGGCGAGUCUCUGGACAGUUACCGACGCUGAGGCACGAAGGUCAGGGGAGCAAACGGG
rnacentral:rRNA from 1 species